UACGGGGGGUGCAAGCGUUGCUCGGAAUUAUUGGGCGUAAAGCGUACGCAGGUGGCUCUGCAAGUCGAGUGUGAAAACCCGGGGCUCAACCCCGGAAUUGCAUUCGAAACUGCCGGGCUUGAGUGCGGGAGAGGGAAGCGGAAUUCCUGGUGUAGAGGUGAAAUUCGUAGAUAUCAGGAGGAACACCGGUGGCGAAAGCGGCUUCCUGGCCCGAUACUGACGCUCAUGUACGAAAGCGUGGGGAGCAAACAGG
rnacentral:rRNA from 1 species